rnacentral:rRNA from 1 species
AAAAAGCUCGUAGUUGGAUUUCUGGUACAACGCGCCUGGCCCGCUUUUAGUGAGUGCCGGUGCGCGUUUGCCAUCCUUCUAGAAAACGUUUCUACCUGGGCAACCGGGCCGGACUCGCGAUCUAGAUCUUUUACUUUGAAAAAAUUAGAGUGUUUAAAGCAGGCUUUUGCUGUGAAUACAUUAGCAUGGAAUAAUAAUCUAGGACUUCGGUUCUAUUUUGUUGGUUUCUAGUACUGAAGUAAUGAUUGAUAGGGAUAGUUGGGGGUGCUAGUAUUGGCCGGCCAGAGGUGAAAUUCUUGGAUUCGGUCAAGACUAACUUAUGCGAAAGCAUUCACCAAGGAUGCCUUCUUUAAUCAAGAACGAAAGUUGGGGGAUCGAAGACGAUCAGAUACCGUCGUAGUCUCAACCAUAAACUAUGCCAACUAGGGAUGGGUGAACGUUGUUUUUUUGACUUCAUCUGCACCUUAUGAGAAAUCAAAGUCUUUGGGUUCCGGGGGGAGUAUGGUCGCAAGGCUGAAACUUAAAGGAAUUGACGGAAGGGCACCACCAGGAGUGGAGCCUGCGGCUUAAUUUGACUCAACACGGGAAAACUUACCAGGUCCGGACAUAGUGAGGAUUGACAGAUUGAAGAUCUUUCUUGAUUCCAUGGGUGGUGGUGC